rnacentral:misc_RNA from 1 species
AAGUCGUAACAAGGUUUCCGUAGGUGAACCUGCGGAAGGAUCAUUACCGAAUUCAACUGUUGUGUUGAUCGCAACUAAGCGAGCCAGCGCGACGUGGUUCACGUCGUGCGAGGGAGCGCCCUUGCAGGCGCUCCAGCGCCGUUCCCCGCUCCGGCGGGAGCUCGUCCACGCUGGUGGAGAAAGAACGGACCCGGUGCUUGCACCAACCCAUCUGUGCUUGAAAAGGAACCCAAAUGCAGUACAACUGCAAACGGUGGAUCACUCGGCUC